UACGGGGGGGGCAAGCGUUGUUCGGAAUUACUGGGUGUAAAGGGUUCGUAGGCGGUGUGGCAAGUCGGGAGUGAAAUCUCUGAGCUUAACUCAGAGACUGCUUCCGAAACUGCUGUGCUUGAGUGUGGGAGAGGCGCGUGGAAUUGCAGGUGUAGCGGUGAAAUGCGUAGAUAUCUGCAGGAACACCCGUGGCGAAAGCGGCGCGCUGGACCACUACUGACGCUGAGGAACGAAAGCUAGGGGAGCAAACAGG
rnacentral:rRNA from 1 species